rnacentral:rRNA from 1 species
GAUGAACGCUAGCUACAGGCUUAACACAUGCAAGUCGAGGGGAAACGACAUCGAAAGCUUGCUUUGAUGGGCGUCGACCGGCGCACGGGUGAGUAACGCGUAUCCAACCUGCCCACCACUUGGGGAUAACCUUGCGAAAGUAAGACUAAUACCCGAUGAUAUCCCUAGACGACAUCUGAAAGGGAUUAAAGAUUUGUCGGUGAUGGAUGGGGAUGCGUCUGAUUAGUUUGUUGGCGGGGUAACGGCCCACCAAGGCAACGAUCAGUAGGGGUUCUCGAGAGGAAGGUCCCCCACAUUGGAACUGAGACACGGUCCAAACUCCUACGGGAGGCAGCAGUGAGGAAUAUUGGUCAAUGGGCGAGAGCCUGAACCAGCCAAGUAG